rnacentral:rRNA from 1 species
GAUGAACGCUGGCGGCGUGCUUAACACAUGCAAGUCGAGCGGGCAAUUUAUCUAGCACUGAUUACUUCAAAUGGAAAUCAUAAGUGUAAUCAUGAAUUUCUACCUUUAAUAAAGAAAAAAGAAAUUCAUGUACGCAAAUAGUGAUAACACAUUUUAGUGGAGUGAUGAGUGCUGGAUAAAUUGCUAGCGGCGGACGGGUGCGUAACACGUGGGUAACCUGCCCCUAUCACUGGGAUAACACACUGAAAAGUGUGCUAAUACCAGAUAACAUAAGCUUUUGGCAUCAUUAGCUUAUCAAAGAAUUUCGGAUAGGGAUGGGCCCGCGUCUGAUUAGCUAGUUGGUGAGGUAACGGCUCACCAAGGCAACGAUCAGUAGCCGACCUGAGAGGGUGAUCGGCCACACUGGAACUGAGACACGGUCCAGACUCCUACGGGAGGCAGCAGUG